GAAUGAACGCUAGCGACAGGCCUAACACAUGCAAGUCGAGGGGUAACGAUUUGGUAGUUUUACUACCAAAGGCGACGACCGGCGCACGGGUGCGUAACGCGUAUGCAACCUGCCCAUUACAAGAGGAUAGCCCAGAGAAAUUUGGAUUAAUACUCUAUGGUAUUUACUUAAAGCAUUUUGAGUAUUUUAAAGGAUUCGUUCCGGUAAUGGAUGGGCAUGCGUAUGAUUAGUUAGUUGGUAGGGUAACGGCCUACCAAGGCGAUGAUCAUUAGGGGUUCUGAGAGGAUAGUCCCCCACACUGGUACUGAGACACGGACCAGACUCCUACGGGAGGCAGCAGUGAGGAAUAUUGGUCAAUGGGCGCAAGCCUGAACCAGCCAAGUCGCGUGCAGGAAGACUGCCCUAUGGGUUGUAAACUGCUUUUAUAUAGGAAUAAUGUGAGUUACGAGUAACUUUUUGAAUGUACUAUAUGAAUAAGCACCGGCUAACUCCGUGCCAGCAGCCGCGGUAAUACGGAGGGUGCAAGCGUUAUCCGGAUUUAUUGGGUUUAAAGGGUGCGUAGGCGGGUUCAUAAGUCAGUGGUGAAAGUCUGUCGCUUAACGAUAGAAUUGCCAUUGAAACUGUGGAUCUUGAAUUCAGUAGAGGUAGGCGGAAUAUAUUGUGUAGCGGUGAAAUGCAUAGAUACGAUAUAGAACACCAAUUGCGAAGGCAGCUUACUAUGCUGAGAUUGACGCUGAUGCACGAAAGCGUGGGUAGCGAACAGGAUUAGAUACCCUGGUAGUCCACGCCGUAAACGAUGAUCACUGGAUGUUGGCGAUAUAAUGUCAGUGUCUGAGCGAAAGUAUUAAGUGAUCCACCUGGGGAGUACGUUGGCAACAAUGAAACUCAAAGGAAUUGACGGGGGCCCGCACAAGCGGAGGAACAUGUGGUUUAAUUCGAUGAUACGCGAGGAACCUUACCCGGGCUUAAAUGUAGAGUGCAUAAUUCAGAGAUGGAUUUUUCUACGGACUCUCUACAAGGUGCUGCAUGGUUGUCGUCAGCUCGUGCCGUGAGGUGUCGGGUUAAGUCCCAUAACGAGCGCAACCCUUACCGUUAGUUACCAUCAGGUAGAGCUGGGGACUCUAGCGGGACUGCCACCGUAAGGUGAGAGGAAGGUGGGGAUGACGUCAAUUCAGCACGGCCCUUACGUUCCGGGGCUUACACGCGUGUUUACAAUGGUGAGGGACAAAGAGUAGCUACACAGCGAAUGUGAAUGCGAAAACUCGAAACCUCAUCUCAGUUCGGAUUGGAGUCUGCAACUCGACUCCAUGAAAGUUGGAUUCGCUAGUAAUCGGAUAUCAGCAACGAUCCGGUGAAUACGUUCCCGGGCCU
rnacentral:rRNA from 1 species